rnacentral:rRNA from 1 species
UAACAAGGAUUCCCCUAGUAACGGCGAGCGAAGCGGGAAGAGCUCAAAUUUGAAAGCUGACGUCUUCGGCGUCCACGUUGUAAUCUCGAGACGUGUUUUCCGUGCGGCUCUAUGGACAAGUCCCUUGGAACAGGGCAUCGUAGAGGGUGAAAAUCCCGUACUUGCCAUGGAAGUACCGUGCUUUGUGAUACACGCUCCAAGAGUCGAGUAGUUUGGGAUUGCUGCUCAAAGUGGGUGGUAGACUCCAUCUAAAGCUAAAUAUCGGGGAGAGACCGAUAGCGAACAAGUACCGUGAGGGAAAGAUGAAAAGCACUUUGGAAAGAGAGUUAAAAGUACGUGAAAUUGUCGAAAGGGAAGCACUUGAAGUCAGCCAUGCUGCUUGAGACUCAGCCUGGCUUUUGCUUGGUGUAUUUCUCGGUAGCAAGCCAGCAUUGGUUUGUGUCGUCGGAGAAGCGUAUGGGGAAUGUGGCAUCCUCGGAUGUGUUAUAGCCCUGUGCAGGAUACGACGACGUAGACCAAGGAACGCAGUGUGCCCUCUGGGCGGGUCUUCGGACACCUUCACACUUAGGAUGCUGGCGUAAU